CUUUUUGUGCAUAAUGUAUAUAUAGGGGGGUGGUAGUACUCUUGGGGUAGAGAGGCAUGUGCUGGGAUGGCAUGCCAAGGCAUGUGCUGGGAUGGCAUGCCUUGGUGUGUGCUGGGAUGGCAUGCCAAGGACAAGCAUGUGCUAGGAAGGCAUGCCAAGGCCAAGGCAAGGCCAUGCAUUGUGAGCGAGAUGAGACGGUUACGAUUACCCCAAGAGUGCCCAAGGGAGAGGAAAGAGGUGUCAAACGCAUGCUGAGCCCCACUUCGGUAGUUUGGCACCCCCAUAGGCAUUCAGGCAAGCGUGCCUAUGGGUAAAGUCGGUUGAGCUUGUCAGCCAUGUUGGGUAUUAUUGUCUGGAUGAGAUGAUGGCACACGUCAAGCUUGCUUUAAGUUAACGUUCCGGCAGCACAGCCAGCCCGCAAUUGCUAGUUCAAGCGGGUGGAAUCUGCCUAUAGGGGUGUUGCUUGCUUCUUGCUGUGGAAUUGGGACACGCCCAAUAUGUAUCAUCGAACCACGUAGUUCCUGCAUGGCCGCAUAGGUAUUCAGGCAAGCGUGCCUAUGGGUAAAGUCGGGUGAGCUUGUCAGCCAUGUUGGGUAUUAUUGUCUGGACGAGAUGAUGGSACAAGGWWGCUUGCUUUAAGGUAACGUUCCGGCAGCACAGCCAGCCCGCAAUUGCUAGUUCAAGCGGGUGGAAUCUGCCUAUAGGGGUGUUGCUUGCUUGCUGUGGAAUUGGGACACGCCCAAUAUCUAUCAUCAACCGACGUAGUUCCUGCAUGGCCCCAUAGGUAUUCAGGCAAGCGUGCCUAUGGGUAAAGUCGCUUGAGCUUSCCAMCMCCCAUGUWWYCUKUAGUCUGGMCCGAUGAUGCCACAAGGAUGCUUGCUUUAAGGUAACAAUUCGGCAGCACAGCCAKCCUGCAAUUGCUAGUUCAAGCGGGUGGAAUCUGCCCAUAGGGGUGUUGCUUGCUUGCUGUGGAUAUGGGACACGCCCAAUAUCUAUCAUCGACCCAACGACCUGCUCAACAUGGGUUGCUGAGGGCUAUUUUGGCACUGACGGUUCACUUGUUUGCUUGGCUCUGAUAAACGUUUAGAUGUCAUGAUGCUUGGGAUCCAAUAAAUUUAUGUGGGAAGCUGAGAGCUGGAACCCAAUGUCAUUCACCAGACGGCUUAGCUUCGUCAGUGUGUAUAAUAUGUCAUUGAACCCCAAUCCUUGAUGCCAACCUGAGUAUGACUUUUGGAUCGCAAUUAUCAUGGCUAUCGAAAACUGAGUAGGAGUCAUGGAAUAAGUGAACAAUUUGUAGCCUCUAUAGCUGUCAGCUUUCGCAUCGCCCGGUGUGUUUUGGGAAUCGCUUUGUGCAUUUGGUUGCCUGCCGUGCCUCUUGGCAUACGGUGGGUGCCACUUGCCGGGUGGUUUUCGGAAACAUCCACCGUAAAGGUGCAUGAGUGGUGUUUGGUUUGUUACGGGUGGUUGGCUCUUUGCUUGCGCAACAACUUCCACCCGACUUACCUCUUCAGAUGUUUGCCUAGGCUUGUAUAGCCUAAGCAGAUUGUGGGUUUCCUGUGUUGCCUACCUACGUCAUGGAAUUGUCCCGAUCGAUCAAAGUUGCUUUCGUCUUGUGUCGUCUUGAUGGCAUAAGAUGAACCAUGAAGCUUUCUCUUUGCACCGCAUCGUUAAUGCAUGCGUUGAUGUUGUGGCCCAUUGAGCAUUGCUUGGUACCUUGGAUACGGAACCUUAUGUGGGCAUGGGUCCUUGGGGAUCCUUGUUCUGCCCUCGUUUAGCGUUCGCGCUUCUCUUAGAAUGACUGCCUAGCCGGAAUGGCAACCCAUUUUGGAUGGGCAUCGUCAAAGAGGAAUGC
rnacentral:misc_RNA from 1 species